UACGUAGGGUGCAAGCGUUAAUCGGAAUUACUGGGCGUAAAGCGUGCGCAGGCGGUUUUGUAAGUCUGACGUGAAAUCCCCGGGCUUAACCUGGGAAUUGCGAUGAAGACUGCAAGGCUAGAAUCUGGCAGAGGGGGGUAGAAUUCCACGUGUAGCAGUGAAAUGCGUAGAGAUGUGGAGGAACACCGAUGGCGAAGGCAGCCCCCUGGGUCAAGAUUGACGCUCAUGCACGAAAGCGUGGGGAGCGAACAGG
rnacentral:rRNA from 1 species